GAUGAACGCUGGCGGCGUGCCUAAUACAUGCAAGUCGAGCGAACGGACGAGAAGCUUGCUUCUCUGAUGUUAGCGGCGGACGGGUGAGUAACACGUGGAUAACCUACCUAUAAGACUGGGAUAACUUCGGGAAACCGUAGCUAAUACCGGAUAAUAUUUUGAACCGCAUGGUUCAAAAGUGAAAGACGGUCUUGCUGUCACUUAUAGAUGGAUCUGCGCUGCAUUAGCUAGUUGGUAAGGUAACGGCUUACCAAGGCAACGAUGCAUAGCCGACCUGAGAGAGUGAUCGGCCACACUGGAACUGGGACACGGUCCAGACUCCUACGGGAGGCAGCAGUAGGGAAUCUUCCGCAGUGGGCGAGAGCCUGACGGAGCAACGCCGCGUGAGUGAUGAAGGUCUUCGGAUCGUAAAACUCUGUUAUUAGGGAAGAACAUAUGUGUAAGUAACUGUGCACAUCUUGACGGUACCUAAUCAGAAAGCCACGGCUAACUACGUG
rnacentral:rRNA from 1 species